rnacentral:rRNA from 1 species
GAUGAACGCUAGCUACAGGCUUAACACAUGCAAGUCGAGGGGCAGCAUGAUUGAAGCUUGCUUCAAUCGAUGGCGACCGGCGCACGGGUGAGUAACACGUAUCCAACCUGCCGAUAACUCGGGGAUAGCCUUUCGAAAGAAAGAUUAAUACCAGAAAGAAAAGUAUUUUCGCAUGGUUUCACUAUUAAAGAACUUCGGUUAUCGCUGGGGAUGCGUUCCAUUAGUUAGUUGGCGGGGUAACGGCCCACCAAGCCAACGAUGGAUAGGGGUUCUGAGAGGAAGGUCCCCCACAUUGGAACUGAGACACGGUCCAAACUCCGACGGGAGGCAGCAGUGAGGAAUAUUGGUCAAUGGACGAGAGUCUGAACCAGCCAAGUAGCGUGAAGGAUGACUGCCCUAUGGGUUGUAAACUUCUUUUAUACGGGAAUAAAGUGGAGUAUGCAUACUCCUUUGUAUGUACCGUAUGAAUAAGGAUCGGCUAACUCCGUG